AUGCAAGGCUCUAAAAGUCAAAACCAAAAUUUUAAAAUCGAUAUGAAAUUUGAUAGGAAGCCAGUGCAGGGAGGAUAUAAUGUGUGAAAUGUGAGUCCGGCUGCUAGAUCUUGUUAAAAGUCUCGCUGCAGCAUUUUGGACCAUUUGAACACGAUUUAAGGCAGAUUUGUUAAAACAAGUAAAAAGCGAGUUGCAAUAAUCUAAACGAGAAGAAAUAAAAGCAUGAAUCACAACUUCCAGAUUAGAGUUAGAUAGAACUGGCCAAAAACUUGUUUCUUAA